UCGAGCCAAAUUGAUAAUUGAUUCAACAUUGAGGGACUGAAAUAACAAUUAAGCGCAUAAAUCCAGGCACUCAAACCUAAUCAUCGAAACGGUGCCGUUUAGUCAUGGAUCUAAUUAAAAUUGGAACAAAAUAUGAGGUAGAGAUUUAAAAAAACAAUAAAAACCAAAUUAAAAUGAAAACAAAUGCGGAGGGGCUUGUUGUGCAAUAAUCCCAUCAGACCCAAAACGCGCAGAUCCUUCCUUCGGGUCGGGUCACCACACGGGUCUGAGCUUCUAAAUGGCAUCGUAUCAUGGCCACUGCACAGGCUCUGAAUGACGUCGUUUCUUCCAUUAGUUAUAAGCCAAACCCUAGAGCGAUCAGCAGUUUAUUUCAUUCAAAAUAAAACCUAAAAGAUUUGCUUGUUGUUUUCGGCGCCGUUCUGUGGAGCAGUUGUUCGAAAAGGAACUCCAAAUCCUUGCUCAAACUCCGAUUGCGACGGAGAGAAACAAGAUCCGGCUAUGAGGUAUUUUCCUUACUUCCUAAACUCUCCUUUUUUGUUGUUCGACGAAUCGUCGUCCUCAAGGGCCCUCGAACCUCGCCCAAACUCUGAUGGAUACGGAGAGAGCGGAGGUCCGGCCACAAGGUACGUUUUUCUUCCUCUUUUCUUUUAUUUUAUAUAUAUUCUAUUACAUGCGAUUAAGAGCAAAGCAGAGAAGGAAAGAAAAGCAACUGGAAAAAGAAUGGUAAAGAGAAAGAAGAAAACCUUCUUUUUAAUUUUUGUAUUGAUCUUUUUUGUUUUUUUGAUACAGUCUCCAUGUUUACAGAUUCUUAAAUCAGCCUUUAUAGCCGAAAAUGAAAAAAUAAAAUAAAAUAAAAUAAAAAAAUUAAAAGAAAUCUGUCCCUGUUCAUUUGCUGUCGAUUUCUGCUCUUUUUGUUUGCUUGUCGUUCUUGCAGGUACGACGUACGCGCAGCGCGUGGCGGUGUGUGAAGGCUGUACGGAGGUGCGGACGUGGUGUGCAGAGGCGUGGCUCGUGGGGCACGUGAGGCCGAGGGAAAGCGGUGGCUGAAGCUGAAAGCUGUUGAAGGCUAAUGUUUCAACUUGAAUCGGGCCGUGUAAAUCGGGUUAGGGUAUUAGCUUUUUCGGGUUGUUUGGGCAUUCGGGCUAGGUGUAAUUUGGCCAUUCAGGUUUAGUCUUCUAGGCAUAUGCAUUUGGGCCUGCUGAUGUAAAGAACUGGACUAUGUUAUUGGUUUUUGGACUUUUAAUUUUGGUUUUGGUUUAUUAUUAUUUUUUAUAUUUUUUGUUUAUUUAUUUCUUAUUUGGGCCGGGCAAAUUGAGCCUAUUACAUUAGGCAUCAUAGUCUUUUGCAAAUCAGAUUUGAGAAACCAAGC
rnacentral:lncRNA from 1 species